CCUCUUGAUGAAGAUGAAGUCAUCUCGCACAUCUUGGACGGCCUUGAUGACGACUACAACCCCUUCAUCUCCGCCAUCUCCAUGCGUGUAGACCAAGGGAUCGGCCUCAACGAGCUCUUAUCUCUGCUGCUUACAGUGGAGA
rnacentral:snoRNA from 1 species